rnacentral:rRNA from 1 species
GGAGUCUGGUCCGUGUCUCAGUACCAGUGUGGGGGACCUUCCUCUCAGAACCCCUAAGGAUCGUAGCCUCGGUGGGCCGUUACCCCGCCGACUAGCUAAUCCUACGCACCGCCAUCCCAUACCGAUGAAUCUUCACCCAUCGCUUCAUGCGAAACAAUGGGACCGCCGGGUAUUAACCUCCCUUUCAGGAGACUAUCCCCGUGUAUGGGCCAGGCUCGAUACGCGUUACGCACCCGUGCGCCGGUCGCCAUCAAGAGUAGCAAGCUACUCCCAUGCUGCCCCUCGACUUGCAUGUGUUAAGCCUGUAGCUAGCGUUCAUC